ACUGGUGAUAAAAGCGGAGGGGGUCCACCCGGUCCCAUGCCGAACCCGGCAGUUAAGCCCUCACGCGCCGAUGGU
rnacentral:rRNA from 1 species